UCCGGUUGCUUGAAUAAGGCGCUCGCAUCGUUUCGCAGAUAGAGAAACUCACUGUAGCUAUAUGAUAUAUACUAUAAACG